GAGUUUAUCGUGUACGCAAGUCAUUGGGUGAAUAAAACCCAAAGGCGAAAUGAAAGUAAAGAGUUGAGUUUAUAAAAUUUGAAUUUAUUCUUUUUUUAUUUCUCUCUUUAGGGAAGAUGAAAAUUUAAUUUAUAAUAUAUCUAUUAUUUAUUUAAAUUUUUCGCAUUCCCGGGGCGCUUGUUUCACGCUUUGCGUGUCGAAGCGCACCUAGAGCGUACACGCUGAUACCCGAAAGAUGGUGAACUAUGCCUGGCCAGGACGAAGCCAGGGGAAACCCUGGUGGAGGUCCGCAGCGAUUCUGACGUGCAAAUCGAUCGUCGGAGCUGGGUAUAGGGGCGAAAGACCAAUCGAACCAUCUAGUAGCUGGUUCCCUCUGAAGUUUCCCUCAGGAUAGCUUGCACUCGGUUGAGAAGAGUCUCAUCCGGUAGAGCGAAUGAUUAGAGGCAUUGGGGUCGAAACGACCUCAACCUAUUCUCAAACUCCAAAUAGAUGAGACCCCCGGCUUUCUUAAAAUUGAAGCCGUGGGAAUAGGAUCAGAGUGCCAAGUGGGCCAAUUUUG
rnacentral:rRNA from 1 species